UACGAAGGGGGCUAGCGUUGCUCGGAAUUACUGGGCGUAAAGCGCACGUAGGCGGCUUUCUAAGUCGGGGGUGAAAUCCUGGAGCUCAACUCCAGAACUGCCUUCGAUACUGGAGAGCUUGAGUCCGGGAGAGGUGAGUGGAACUGCGAGUGUAGAGGUGAAAUUCGUAGAUAUUCGCAAGAACACCAGUGGCGAAGGCGGCUCACUGGCCCGGUACUGACGCUGAGGUGCGAAAGCGUGGGGAGCAAACAG
rnacentral:rRNA from 1 species